rnacentral:lncRNA from 1 species
GUACAGGCCCAAUAUUGCCCGGGCCCAUAAACAAAUAAAAUAUAAUAGCCCAACAAAUAAUUUCACAAGCCCAGACCCAAUAGGCCUAAAACUAACCCUAGCCCAACUACCCAAAUUGUUUCAGCAACCCUAGCCUCUUUCUUCAGCCGCCGCUCACCUCACGCAUGCUGAACCACCGCGCAUGCCACCUCGGCCACCAUGCCCCUGACCGUCGCCUAUUCCACGCGUCGCAUAGCACCUACAAUGAAAGCAAAUACAAAGGCAAAAGAAAGCACGUGAAUGAUGGGGGAAGAAAUAAACAAAAGAGCAAACACAAAAUAAAAAUGAAAGAAAAGUUUUGUAGAUCGGCUUUAAAAAGCCAAAAUCUUAUCUUUGUAAAAAGAGGACAGACUGUACUGAAGGGGGGGAACUGAUUGUAUUUGAGGAGGGAUUUUCAAUAUUCAAAAAGGGGGGGAUUGUAUUUCGAAAAAAGAAAAGGAAAAAAAUAGAGAACACCCAAUACAAAAAAUCAAUCAAAAACCAAAACUUUAAAGGUGAUUCCUCUUUUGUUUCAUUUUUUUCUUUAAAAUCUCUGUUGCUUUUAUUUUCUUUUAUAUUUUUUUUGUUUGAAUAAAAAUAAUAAAAAUAAAACAAAAAGAGUAGAAAAAGGAGGGUACUCACCUUCGUUGGCCUCUUCGUCGCCGGAAGAAAUCCGUUCGCGCAACGCUGGCCACUGGCCCACAACG